rnacentral:snRNA from 1 species
ACCGCUUCUCGGCCUUAAGACCAAGUGUAGUAUCAGUUCAGCAUCUGACACAUCCUUGGUCUGAGGGCAGCAUAUGAAAUGCACUUUGGCCAGGAGUUGGACUAGGAGCUUGCUCCAUCCACUCCACACAUCAACCUGGUCUUGCCGUGCUUCCAGAAAUGGUGCAGCUAAA